AGAGUUUGAUCCUGGCUCAGGAUGAACGCUAGCGGCAGGCCUAACACAUGCAAGUCGAGGGGCAGCACGGUGUAGCAAUACACUGGUGGCGACCGGCGCACGGGUGCGUAACGCGUAUGCAACCUACCCAUAACAGGGGGAUAACACUGAGAAAUUGGUACUAAUACCCCAUAACAUCAGGACCGGCAUCGGUUCUGGUUGAAAACUCCGGUGGUUAUGGAUGGGCAUGCGUUGUAUUAGCUGGUUGGUGAGGUAACGGCUCACCAAGGCAACGAUACAUAGGGGGACUGAGAGGUUAACCCCCCACAUUGGUACUGAGACACGGACCAAACUCCUACGGGAGGCAGCAGUGAGGAAUAUUGGUCAAUGGACGCAAGUCUGAACCAGCCAUGCCGCGUGCAGGAAGACGGCUCUAUGAGUUGUAAACUGCUUUUGUACGAGAGUAAACGCUCUUACGUGUAAGAGCCUGAAAGUAUCGUACGAAUAAGGAUCGGCUAACUCCGUGCCAGCAGCCGCGGUAAUACGGAGGAUCCAAGCGUUAUCCGGAUUUAUUGGGUUUAAAGGGUGCGUAGGCGGUUUGAUAAGUUAGAGGUGAAAUACCGGUGCUUAACACCGGAACUGCCUCUAAUACUGUUGAACUAGAGAGUAGUUGCGGUAGGCGGAAUGUAUGGUGUAGCGGUGAAAUGCUUAGAGAUCAUACAGAACACCGAUUGCGAAGGCAGCUUACCAAACUAUAUCUGACGUUGAGGCACGAAAGCGUGGGGAGCAAACAGGAUUAGAUACCCUGGUAGUCCACGCAGUAAACGAUGAUAACUCGCUGUCGGCGAUACACAGUCGGCGGCUAAGCGAAAGCGAUAAGUUAUCCACCUGGGGAGUACGUUCGCAAGAAUGAAACUCAAAGGAAUUGACGGGGGCCCGCACAAGCGGAGGAACAUGUG
rnacentral:rRNA from 3 species